AAAGCGUGCGCAGGCGGCUUUGCAAGACAGAGGUGAAAUCCCCGGGCUCAACCUGGGAACUGCCUUCGUGACUGCAAGGCUAGAGUACGGCAGAGGGAGAUGGAAUUCCGCGUGUAGCAGUGAAAUGCGUAGAUAUGCGGAGGAACACCGAUGGCGAAGGCAAUCUCCUGGGCCUGUACUGACGCUCAUGCACGAAAGCGUGGGGAGCAAACAGGAUUAGAUACCCUAGU
rnacentral:rRNA from 1 species